GACGAACGCUGGCGGCGUGCCUAAUACAUGCAAGUAGAACGCUGAAGGAGGAGCUUGCUUCUCUGGAUGAGUUGCGAACGGGUGAGUAACGCGUAGGUAACCUGCCUGGUAGCGGGGGAUAACUAUUGGAAACGAUAGCUAAUACCGCAUAAGAGUAGAUGUCGCAUGACAUUUGCUUAAAAGGUGCAAUUGCAUCACUACCAGAUGGACCUGCGUUGUAUUAGCUAGUUGGUGAGGUAACGGCUCACCAAGGCAACGAUACAUAGCCGACCUGAGAGGGUGAUCGGCCACCCUGGGACUGAGACACGGCCCAGACUCCUACGGGAGGCAGCAGUAGGGAAUCUUCGGCAAUGGACGGAAGUCUGACCGAGCAACGCCGCGUGAGUGAAGAAGGUUUUCGGAUCGUAAAGCUCUGUUGUAAGAGAAGAACGAGUGUGAGAGUGGAAAGUUCACACUGUGACGGUAUCUUACCAGAAAGGGACGGCUAACUACGUG
rnacentral:rRNA from 1 species